rnacentral:rRNA from 1 species
GACGAAGGGGGCUAGCGUUGUUCGGAAUUACUGGGCGUAAAGCGCGUGUAGGCGGUUAUCCAAGUCAGGUGUGAAAGCCUUGAGCUCAACUCAAGAAAUGCACUUGGUACUGGGUGACUAGAGGACCGGAGAGGAUAGUGGAAUUCCCAGUGUAGUGGUGAAAUACGUAGAGAUUGGGAAGAACACCAGUGGCGAAGGCGGCUAUCUGGACGGUUUCUGACGCUGAGACGCGAAAGCGUGGGGAGCAAACAGG